UACGGAGGGAGCUAGCGUUGUUCGGAAUUACUGGGCGUAAAGCGCACGUAGGCGGUUACUCAAGUCAGAGGUGAAAGCCCCGGGGCUCAACCCCCGGAACUGCCUUUGUAAACUAAGGUAACUAGAAUCUUGGAGAGGUCAGUGGAAUUCCGAGUGUAGAGGUGAAAUUCGUAGAUAUUCGGAAGAACACCAGUGGCGAAGGCGACUGACUGGACAAGUAUUGACGCUGAGGUGCGAAAGCGUGGGGAGCAAACAGGAUUAGAUACCCCGGUAGU
rnacentral:rRNA from 1 species